CAUUCAGAUGUAACAAAAGUCAUGAACAGGCAAAGGCAAAAUCCAGGUAGCCGACAAGUAAAUGAAAACAGAGAUGCAGGGGCUUCUGGGUGGCUCAGUCUGUUAAGCAUCCGACUCUUGGUUUCGGCUCAGGUCAUGAUCUCUCCUCGUUUGUGGGUUUGAGCCCCAUCUUGGGCUCUGCACUGUCAGUACAGAGCCUGCUUGGGAUUCAUUCUCUCUCCCUCUCUGUUUGCCCUUCCCCUGUUCUGUCUCUCUCUCUCUCAAAAUAAAUAAACUUAAAAAAGAAAAAAAACAGAGAUGCAGAUACCAAUUUUAUCCACUAGAUUGACAGCGAUCAGAAAAUAGGAUACCAAAUAGGAUAUUAAAUGUGGAUGAAGACAGGGAACACUGGGAGUUCUCCAGCACAGCGGGCCGAACAGCACUGAUGAAGUGAGGUGUCUGGUUCUGUUCCGGAGGGCUGCCUCUCACGUUGGGGCCACACACCCCAGGAGGGCACCCGCACCAGGACACCCAUCAUAACCCUGUUGGAGAUGGCAUGUUGUGGAGGGAACCCAGGCUGGAUCCCUCAGAGUCCUAGCAGGAAACAGAUGGCAUGCCCAAAUCAGGAUCCUUUGAGGAGGGUUAAUUUAUAAAGGGACUGUUUACAAAAGUGUGGGUACAGGGAAACCCCAGAGAUAAUGCAGAAGCCCCAGGUUCAGAGCAGCAGAGACGAUACCGAAGCCAUUUGGGUUUGGCCAAGUGUUGUGUGGACAAGCAAGAUCCAGCCAGCUAUGGGUCUGCUGCCAGAAGGAUCCCCAGAAAGAAAUGCCCUGCCCCCCUGUCCCUCUCCACUCACCCCCCUCAGCCCCUCUUGGGACUUCUCUUUGGCCACACCCAAUCAGAAGCCAGAGAGCAAGGAGCCCAUUGUUGGGGUCAUAUGAGGCAUCCCGCUGGGCACAGAGCAGGAGGAGAGGGUGGAGGGGAGCCUGAAGGGAACGGAAGGAGUGUCCUUCCUUCCAGGGCGGGAGGAGUGUCCUCCGUGUCCUCCCACCCUGGAGAAAAGAGGAAUCACAGCACACACUUGCCUUGGAACACAACACGGCCAUCGGAAGAAGUAUAGACCUACAAACAACGUCAUUGGGUCUUAAAAUCUGGUGCUGAGUUAAAAAAAGACAACAAAGACACAAGAUGGAGAGCCCACCAUGUGCACACGUUUAAAUGCUCAUGUACACGAAGCCAAAUCUUCUCAAAGAUUCGCGGGACAUCCGAGGCACCAACCAGAAGGAGGGCCGUGGGAGCAGGGACUGGAGAUCUGUGAGGGAAAGAUGAAGAGCAAUAAAACAAGAGAGCCUCCCAGGACUGACUGAGCAAUGAGCAGGGUAGGUUCGACUCAGUGCCUCGCCUGGAGGACAGCGACAGAUUCCCUGAAUCCUGCUCCCCAGACACCCAUUUGUUGGAGACUUCAUACCUCCCUCCAGCCCCGGCUGCCUCUGAGGGGAUUGCUGACCACCCCACCCCCUACGAGACUUGUUGGGUUUCCUCGAAGGCUUGGGCCCACCCACAUGACUUCUGCAGGCCUGCCUGGUGCUCAGCACACAUCCUCUUCACUGAUCCUGGAGGCUGCUGAAAGGGGCUCUUUUCCAUCCUUGACUCUGGAAGUUCUCAUACACACCCGGCCCACCGUGCCUGGAUCUCCAAAUUUUGUUCAAAUUCGUUCAACUGCCCACAAUGGGGCAGAGGGGAGUCCAUAGUGACUCAUUUUCCCCAUCUGCUGAGAUGGCCUUUAACAAGUGAAGCCCAGCCAGAUGCUCCUGUGGGACCGAGAGACUGUCCACCUCCGAAGCGAGACCUUGGCUUCCAGGCCAGGAACACCUCCCAUGUGGAUCUUCAGACUCUCAUCCACCACUACCGUGAUGCAAUUCUAACCACCUGGAGUGAGCACAGAGUCCACAGGGCAAGACUGCCCCCACGUCCGUCACCAGCCACAGGCUCAGGGACCCCCAGGCCACGUGCAAUUCUGACCCACUGGCCACAAAUCUGGAGGGGGGGUUCAUGACCCCCAUCAGGUUUAGGAUUUUGCUAGGAUAACUCACAGAGCUCAGGGAUCUGGAAGUCAAGGUGAGAAGCUCAUUCAAUGUGAGCUUUACAACACCCUCGGACCAUCCACAGAGCGAAUGCUACUCUCUUCUGCUAUCAUGAAGGAAAGACUUAGUGCAUUGUGACCUGCCAGAAGUCACACAGCCAGCAGACCAGCCCACCCUCAGCCUGGGUCUUCUGAUGCUGAGACCAGGGCGUUUCCAGAACACCACGCUGAGACUUCAUAAUGUAAUUUGAAAGUUUGAACCAAAAGGGAUUCUGAGAAACAUUCAGUUGACAAGAAGCAGACAGCUCCUCCUCCUUCCCGCCCAUUCGUCUGCUCCCUGAGCCCUCUGGACAACGGGAGAAUUUAGUUUGAAUGCCCGUUUCUAACAACUCGGUUUCCCAAGUUUCUGAGCAACCCAGGCACCCACUAUUUGUCAUCAAGAGGGUGACCACUGUGUCUGCCCAGCUUGGUCAUGGACUGUGGCCUUCAGAUGGGAGAAGAUGCUUCCAGACUUUGCCUGGUCAUUCUUCUCCACACCUUAACUCACCUGGAAACAGAUGCAGCGAGAAGCAUCUUUCUCUGCCCGGCGGUCUCCUCACAGAUGUCUCCCGAAACAUUUUUUCACCACACCUUUUUGCCUUCAAAAAGGGAUCAACACACAGUCCCUGUCUGGGGAGCUGUGGUGCAGGGGAGUGUAGCAAGUUAAACCCAGUCUCCACCACUCACCGGGUAAUCUUGGACGCGUUAUUGGUCUCUCCCAGCUGUUUCUAUGCCCACAAGACAGAGGAGGAGGAAUGGUGUGUGUCCUCUCAUCCCCAGUUCCAACCACCCCCACCCCUGCUCCCUGCCCCGAGCCGGGGAUUCCAAGCAGAAAGCAGACCCCUUCGGGCGCCCAGCUGGGAUCAAUUCGGCAGAGCCACACAGAAUGUGAGAAGCCAAUCACUUCAAAGCCAGGUUUGCACAACUGUGUCCAUUCUUCCUCCAAGAAAUUUCACACCUUGACACCAAGGAGCCGGUGUUUAAGAAAGAGGAAUU